GGGGUCGGUGUGGGGCUGUUGUGGGGCCUGCGGGAGUGGGGGCCGUGUGGGGCCUAUGUGGGACCUGCACGGGGCCUGUGUGGGACGUGCGGGGCCUGCGUAGGAUCCAUAUGGGGCCUGCGUGGCUGCAGGGCACGGGACCCCACCGCUGGCACUGUGGCUGCAGGUGAGUGUCCCCAUGGCACAAGGACGGGCUGUCCCCGUUCCCCACACCUCCGUGUACCCACUGUCAGUACCCGGCCGGGGUCCCCCGUGGGUCCCCCAGGUGGCCCAGCAACACGCUGGCAUCAGCCCUGUUUUCCCCUUUCUCCCCCCCCCGCUGCAUUUGACAAAC
rnacentral:lncRNA from 1 species